UACAGAGGGUGCGAGCGUUGUUCGGAAUUACUGGGCGUAAAGCGCGCGCAGGCGGCCUUUUAAGUCUGCUGGUGAAAUGCCGGGGCUCAACCCCGUGCCCGCCACAGAUACUGGGAGGCUGGAGACGAGUAGAGGCAAGCGGAAUUCCAGGUGUAGCGGUGGAAUGCGUAGAGAUCCGGAAGAACACCGGAGGCGAAGGCGGCUUGCUGGGCUUGGUCUGACGCUGAGGCGCGAAAGCGUGGGGAGCGAACAGG
rnacentral:rRNA from 1 species